UGGCAAUUCAUUUAGCCAUCUGCUUCUCUG
rnacentral:piRNA from 1 species